GUCUGAUCAUUUCUUUUUGAAAAUGGCAGGUCGUUAUGAUCCCAACCCUUUCGAAGAAGAAGAGGUCAAUCCCUCCGCUAGUGGUGGAAAUUUAAUUUGGAACUGAUAAACAUGAAUGGCUUACAAAGAAGUUUCGCGAAUGAAAAGGGCAAAGGUUUACUGGACUUCUUCAUUAAGGUCUAACAAGAAAGUAUCACCUCAAUCGGAUUUUCUCCCAUCACGUUCGAACAGCAUAUAUCUAUUGGAUUUGGGAUCUGCUUAUUGUGCGGAGUGGGACCAAGGUUAACCCACGAGGUGUUUGAGUCAUCGGCGUUUAUUUUGUUUUUGUUAGUUAGGGGUAGCGUCUUUUAGGUUGUUAGAUCUGUUAAAUUUGGAUUCUGGGCUGUUGUAGUUUUAAUUGAAUUUGAUUUCUUUAAUGUGGGGUUGUUUGUUGUUAAUUGUGGUGAUAUCUUGAUUUUGAAUAGUUGGAUGUAAAAUGGAAUCCCCAUUUCGAAGCUAGGGAUUGAUUUUUGUACUGAUUGGUAUAUUUGGAGUGUUUUUGCUCUG